UACGUAGGGUGCGAGCGUUGUCCGGAAUUAUUGGGCGUAAAGAGCUUGUAGGCGGUUUGUCGCGUCUGCCGUGAAAAUUCGAGGCUCAACCUCGAACUUGCGGUGGGUACGGGCAGACUAGAGUGUGGUAGGGGAGACUGGAAUUCCUGGUGUAGCGGUGAAAUGCGCAGAUAUCAGGAGGAACACCAAUGGCGAAGGCAGCUCGCUGGGACGGUACUGACGCUGAGGCGACGAAGGCGUGGGGAGCGAACCGG
rnacentral:rRNA from 1 species